AUUGAACGCUGGCGGCAUGCCUUACACAUGCAAGUCGAACGGUAACGCGGGGCAACCUGGCGACGAGUGGCGAACGGGUGAGUAAUGCAUCGGAACGUGCCCAGUUGUGGGGGAUAACUGCUCGAAAGAGCAGCUAAUACCGCAUACGACCUGAGGGUGAAAGCGGGGGAUCGCAAGACCUCGCGCAAUUGGAGCGGCCGAGGUCGGAUUAGCUAGUUGGUGGGGUAAAGGCCCACCAAGGCGACGAUCCGUAGCUGGUCUGAGAGGACGACCAGCCACACUGGGACUGAGACACGGCCCAGACUCCUACGGGAGGCAGCAGUGGGGAAUUUUGGACAAUGGACGCAAGUCUGAUCCAGCCAUGCCGCGUGCGGGAAGAAGGCCUUCGGGUUGUAAACCGCUUUUGUCAGGGAAGAAAUCUUCUGGGUUAAUACCUCGGGAGGAUGACGGUACCUGAAGAAUAAGCACCGGCUAACUACGUGCCAGCCGCCGCAGUAA
rnacentral:rRNA from 1 species